rnacentral:rRNA from 1 species
GAUGAACGCUGGCGGCGUGCCUAAUACAUGCUUUUCGAGCGAACAGACGAGGAGCUUACUCCUCUGACGUUAGCGGCGGACGGGUGAGUAACACGUGGAUAACCUACCUAUAAGACUGGGAUAACUUCGGGAAACCGGAGCUAAUACCGGAUAACAUGUUGAACCGCAUGGUUCAACAGUGAAAGACGGUCUUGCUGUCACUUAUAGAUGAAUCCGCGUCGCAUUAGCUAGUUGGUAAGGUAACGGCUUACCAAGGCAACGAUGCGUAGCCGACCUGAGAGGGUGAUCGGCCACACUGGAACUGAGACACGGUCCAGACUCCUACGGGAGGCAGCAGUAGGGAAUCUUCCGCAAUGGGCGAAAGCCUGACGGAGCAACGCCGCGUGAGUGAAGAAGGUCUUCGGAUCGUAAAACUCCGUUAUUAGGGAAGAACAAAUGUGUAAGUAACUAUGCACGUCUUGACGGUACCUAAUCAGGAAGCCACGGCUAACUACGUGCCAGCAGCCGCGGUAAUACGUAGGUGGCAAGCGUUAUCCGGAAUUAUUGGGCGUAAAGCGCGCGUAGGCGGUUUUUUAAGUCUGAUGUGAAAGCCCACGGCUCAACCCGUGGGAGGGUCAUUGGAAACUGGAAAACUUGAGUGCAGAAGAGGAAAGUGGAAUUCCAUGUGUAGCGGUGAAAUGCGCAGAGAUAUGGAGGAACACCAGUGGCGAAGGCGACUUUCUGGUCUGUAACUGACGCUGAUGUGCGAAAGCGUGGGGAUCAAACAGGAUUAGAUACCCUGGUAGUCCACGCCGUAAACGAUGAGUGCUAAGUGUUAGGGGGUUUCCGCCCCUUAGUGCUGCAGCUAACGCAUUAAGCACUCCGCCUGGGGAGUACGACCGCAAGGUUGAAACUCAAAGGAAUUGACGGGGACCCGCACAAGCGGUGGAGCAUGUGGUUUAAUUCGAAGCAACGCGAUGAACCUUACCAAAUCUUGACAUCCUCUGACCCCUCUAGAGAUAGAGUUUUCCCCUUCGGGGGACAGAGUGACAGGUGGUGCAUGGUUGUCGUCAGCUCGUGUCGUGAGAUGUUGGGUUAAGUCCCGCAACGAGCGCAACCCUUAAGCUUAGUUGCCAUCAUUAAGUUGGGCACUCUAAGUUGACUGCCGGUGACAAACCGGAGGAAGGUGGGGAUGACGUCAAAUCAUCAUGCCCCUUAUGAUUUGGGCUACACACGUGCUACAAUGGACAAUACAAAGGGUAGCGAAACCGCGAGGUCAAGCAAAUCCCAUAAAGUUGUUCUCAGUUCGGAUUGUAGUCUGCAACUCGACUACAUGAAGCUGGAAUCGCUAGUAAUCGUAGAUCAGCAUGCUACGGUGAAUACGUUCCCGGGUCU